GACCAAUUAUCUUUGAAUUUACUCAACUAACAUUUCCAAGUUAGCUUCAAAUGGUUUGUGAUGUCAGAAUUGAGCUAUUGUAAUCACUAAUGAGAAGACGUUAUUUACUUUUAAUACACAACUCAUCUCAACCUUUUUUUUCCAACUGUUAAUACACCUAACCUCGAAGUGGUUUCCUGUUUCAGCUAAUAUUCUGAUGUCAAAUAUUGAACUACACUACAAAACAAAAUGAGAUGAACCACCUCCAGUUUUAACUGUGCACAGUCCAAACUAAAUUAAAACAGUUCGAAUUAUACAAAUCCUCUAUCUAUUGUUCCUAUAACACAAGUUACAAUUAGCCAAAUAAGUGCACAAUCUAUCUAAUUACGAACGACAAAAAAUAAUCCAUGCAUGUAAAUUUGAUGAACAUUUUCAUUUCAAUUCCAGUCAUAGAUUACACUGAUAUGAGUUCAAACUGUGUACCUGGAAGUUGAAAAUAAGAUCAGCAACAAGAAUACUACAGCAGCAAUAUAAGAUCUUAGAAAACCAACACGGCACCAAUUGACCAAAAAUAGGCCCCACUAAACCACACACUCGAUGAAUGAUCCAUAGCCAACUCAGAUAAACCAACACCAAUGUUCAAAUGAUUCCAAACACUUCCAGAUUUGAAGUAUUGAACAGAAACAAAGAACUCAAGCUAUUUUUGGGUUUCAAAAUGGGUUGGAGAGUCGAACUAAAGAUGAGAUUUGAAAAUAACCUAAAGGAAAACAAUCGAACAAUGUUUGUUUUUUGGUUUUUUAUUAUAUUUAUACUAUUUUUGGCAUUAAUUUUUCAGAGCUGAAAACUUGAAAAUGGUCGAAGGCAAUGAAACAUUACUCUAUCAUCUCCCUAAAACUGAAUUCCUCUUCUUCUUUUUAACUCUUUCCAACUCUCAAAAUGCUGUCUCAAAACUGAAAAACUCUCCCUCUUUUCAAUCUCAGAUUCUCUAAAAUGUCCCCCCCCCAUUCAAUGUCUGAGCCCCCUCUAUUUAUAUCCAAACUCAACCCUUUCCAUCCCCUUAAAAUACUUAACCAGAUAGAAAACUAAUUUCCCCAUCCUGAUCUCUGAUUUUCCAACAUGUAAAGACUGCCAGUUCCACUACUAGCUCCCUUUCCCAUUAUUCUAAUUCAAUUAGUGUGGGCAACCUGAAUUCUAAAUUAAUGGUAUGGGCACGCCCAUACUUUAAAUUAAUUCCCACGUUCCUUUGUAAUUGAUCCCUAAAACCCCAUGUUAUUUAUGACCUUUUCAAACUUAGUAAAGCACUCAAAUCACCCAAUAAUCCUAUGUUACUUAAUGCAUCCGAAAGUUCUGGAUAUAAAAAGAAGACAGAAAUGCAAACAAACCAAUACAAAUGCACUUUACAAUUAAGGAAACAUAUGACAAUUGAAUCACAUUGAUUCAUUUGAAAAAUUAAUCGGCUAUAAGAAUUAAAAGAACACUGAAGAAAGAAAACAAUAAAAGAAGAAGAAAAAUGAAUAAAGCUAAAAAAGAAGAAGAAAACUUACCAGAAUCAAUACUCGAACGGUUGAUCUGCAAAGAAAUCCCCUAUUUUUGGACUGAGAUAUACUUUAACCAUGUAUUCUCUACCGAAAAUAUAUGAAGAAAGUCAAUCUCAACUCGAAAUUCAUGAAGCCCGGCUAAUAUGAUUUUUCGUUUACUUGAUCCAAAAUUCGAGAAAUUCUAUGAUGAUUCAACGGAAACUAAGUAGGGAUUUGUGGUGAGGAAGGUUUGGUGGUCGCUUGGUGUCAAUUUGGGGUUAAUUGGAUGAACUAGGGUUCGGGAUCGAUUCUUUGAUCUAAUAUUUGAAGCAUCCUAGGGUGAUUCGAGGGUAUUGGUUAGAGAGUUGGGAUGGGGAGGUCGAGGGGGUUCCAUGGUGUAAUUUUGGGAGGGAUUGGACCACCGAAACCGCCAUGAGUCACUUUUUGAUGGGC
rnacentral:lncRNA from 1 species